rnacentral:rRNA from 1 species
UACAGAGGUCUCAAGCGUUUGUUCGGAUUCAUUGGGCGUAAAGGGUGCGUAGGUGGCGGGGUAAGUCAGGUGUGAAAUCUCGGGGCUCAACCCCGAAACUGCACUUGAUACUGCCUUGCUCGAGUACUGGAGAGGAGAUUGGAAUUUACGGUGUAGCAGUGAAAUGCGUAGAUAUCGUAAGGAAGACCAGUGGCGAAGGCAGCUCUCUGGGACGGUACUGACGCUGAGACGCGAAAGCGUGGGGAGCGAACAGG